rnacentral:misc_RNA from 1 species
UUUCCGUAGGUGAACCUGCGGAAGGAUCAUUACAGAGUUCAUGCCCUCACGGGUAGAUCUCCCACCCUUGAAUAUUUAUACCUUAGUUGCUUUGGCAGGCCGUGGAAACACCAUGGGCUCCGGCUUAUGCGUGCCUGCCAGAGGAAACAAACUCUGUUUUUAGUGAUGUCUGAAUACUAUAUAAUAGUUAAAACUUUCAACAACGGAUCUCUUGGUUCUG